rnacentral:rRNA from 1 species
CCUACGGGUGGCAGCAGUGAGGAAUAUUGGUCAAUGGACGAGAGUCUGAACCAGCCAAGUAGUGUGAAGGAUGACUGCCCUAUGGGUUGUAAACUUCUUUUAUAUGGGAAUAAAACGUUCCACGUGUGGGAUUUUGUAUGUACCAUAUGAAUAAGGAUCGGCUAACUCCGUGCCAGCAGCCGCGGUAAUACGGAGGAUCCGAGCGUUAUCCGGAUUUAUUGGGGUUAAAGGGAGCGUAGGUGGAUUGUUAAGUCAGUUGUGAAAGUUUGCGGCUCAACCGUAAAAUUGCAGUUGACACUGGCAGUCUUGAGUACAGUAGAGGUGGGCGGAAUUCGUGGUGUAGCGGUGAAAUGCUUAGAUAUCACGAAGAACUCCGAUUGCGAAGGCAGUUCACUGGACUGCAACUGACACUGAGGCUCGAAAGUGUGGGUAUCAAACAGGAUUAGAUACCCGAGUAGUC